rfam:TPA: Bos taurus chromosome 10, whole genome shotgun sequence.
UAGCUCAGUUGGUAAAGAAGCUGCCUGCAAUGCAGUAGACCCUGGUUCGAUUCCUGG